UACGAAGGGGGCUAGCGUUGCUCGGAAUCACUGGGCGUAAAGGGUGCGUAGGCGGGUCUUUAAGUCAGGGGUGAAAUCCUGGAGCUCAACUCCAGAACUGCCUUUGAUACUGAGGAUCUUGAGUUCGGGAGAGGUGAGUGGAACUGCGAGUGUAGAGGUGAAAUUCGUAGAUAUUCGCAAGAACACCAGUGGCGAAGGCGGCUCACUGGCCCUAUACUGACGCUGAGGCACGAAAGCGUGGGGAGCAAACAGG
rnacentral:rRNA from 1 species